rnacentral:rRNA from 1 species
GUGGGGAAUAUUGGUCAAUGGACGAGAGUCUGAACCAGCCAAGUAGCGUGCAGGAUGACUGCCCUAUGGGUUGUAAACUGCUUUUAUGCGGGAAUAAAGUCAGGUACGUGUACCUGUUUGUAUGUACCGCAUGAAUAAGGACCGGCUAAUUCCGUGCCAGCAGCCGCGGUAAUACGGAAGGUCCGGGCGUUAUCCGGAUUUAUUGGGUUUAAAGGGAGCGCAGGCGGAAGGUUAAGCGUGACGUGAAAUGUACCGGCUCAACCGGUGAUGUGCGUCGCGAACUGGCUUUCUUGAGUGAGUACGACGCUGGCGGAAUUCGUGGUGUAGCGGUGAAAUGCUUAGAUAUCACGAAGAACUCCGAUUGCGAAGGCAGCCGGCGAGUCCUCAACUGACGCUAAUGCUCGAAAGUGCGGGUAUCGAACAGG